rnacentral:rRNA from 1 species
UACGAAGGGGGCUAGCGUUGUUCGGAUUUACUGGGCGUAAAGCGCACGUAGGCGGAUUGGUAAGUUAGAGGUGAAAUCCCGAAGCUCAACUUCGGAACUGCCUUUAAUACUGCCAGUCUAGAGUCCGGAAGAGGUGAGUGGAACUCCUAGUGUAGAGGUGGAAUUCGUAGAUAUUAGGAAGAACACCAGUGGCGAAGGCGGCUCACUGGUCCGGUACUGACGCUGAGGUGCGAAAGCGUGGGGAGCAAACAGG